GGCCCCGUAGUUCAGCUGGAUAGAACAGCCGCCUCCUAAGCGGCAGGUCGCAGGUUCGAAUCCUGCCGGGGUCG
rnacentral:tRNA from 1 species